GUUCGAUCAUAGGUCAUUAAUCUAUUUCUCUCUGGUGCAGGUACAAGAAAACAUUAAUCUCUUUUGCCAAAUACGGGAUAAUAUCCAAACAAUCAUAAAUGAGUACGCCCCUCUCCCUUACUAUUUUGUCAUCAAUUGCCCAUUCCGCUGUUCUUCAUGAAACAACUUGAAAUGAGUGAAGGGCCUCUGUGAUGCGCAUGAAUGGAAUUGCCCCAUCUGAGAGAGAGAGAGAGAGAUAGAGAGAGAAAGAGAGAGAGAUUAUGACCUUAGUUGACCCGAUUUGACGGCGAUGCAGCAUGAACGAGAGCGGAGUGAUGGACCAGAUGCCGGCCCUACGCACAACGAUCAACGAGGAGCUCGCCAAUUCCGUCCUGCACACCGGGAGCUCCAUGCCGAUGCAGUCGUGACGGCGGUUUUGACCUUCCCAAGAUCCUGCUCUUUUGGGAUGGAGAGGAAAGUCAACGAGCCCUCCUCCAUCGCAUCCCCUUUCUCUCUCUUGCCCUCAUUUCUCUUCUCUCCCCCCAUCUCGGAAAUUUUGACGGAUCCCUGUAGCUGUUUAAUAAUGUCCGUGUUGUAUAUAUAAGAGCCACGGAAAACACGGCAUCCCUCCUCCACCUGGAUCUGAUCACCGCCACGUGUACGGUUCGAUGCUUUCUAUCUUUGGUUUAUUUCCUUCAUUUUUAUCCCGCGGGCCCCUGUAAAUAUAUACCUAAAAAUGGGGAUCUGGAAGUUUACGUGAAAAUUUCAUCGGCGGCGUGAAUUAAAAAAUGAAUAAAAAAAUAGUCGACUGUAAAUGUGCGGAAAUAAAUGUGCCCCUAAAAAAAUGAUUUUUUUUUUCCAAAGAAAAGAAGUAAACGGCGUAGAGCACCUGGCCACCUCUCGGGGAGACCGGCCCGCCGCCAAGAAGUCAGACGUGGAAUCAAUCCCCCUGCAGCUGAAACGGUCAAGAUGAGUAGGCCCCACGUGGUCAAUAUGUCCCCCGCCGACGGAUCUCUUCUUCUUCUUCGCCGGCGGAGCAGAGACGGCGUAGGUGGCUGGGAAGAACACGUUUUCAACCCACGUCGCUGACGGCAGAAGAAGAAUCACGACGGCAGCACGAGGAGAUGGUCGUGGCCUUUUUUCACACCAUUUAGUCGUCGUACGGGGGGGAGAAUCCCACUGAGCCGCAGCUUCUUCCCCAUCUUCGCCGGCGGUCAAAGUUCAGAGGAGAAAAAAAGAGAGAGAGUUAAUGAACAUGUCUCUGCUCCGGGCGGCACGCAGCUUCUCAGAGACAUACAAGAACGGAGGCGGGCAGGGAGAACUCACCUAGAGAGGCAGAGACCGAUUCGCCAGAGAGAGAGAGAGAGAUGGGCUCCAGAGAACUGAUGAGAAGAGUCCUCCUGCUCGGCUGCUUGGUGACGCUCCUGCUGGCUCACGCUUCCGACGCUGCACCAGGUGACACAGAAUCCACGCCUUUCUAUUAUUACAGAGAGAAGUAUGCAUGCACAGUAGAGAGAGAUAGAGAGAGAGAGAGAGAGAGAGAGAGANNNNN
rnacentral:lncRNA from 1 species